GAUUCAUUUUACUUUCGGGUCUCUUUCUUUUUCUGGGAUUCGUGGACGUAAUAUCAAAAACUUUUGCAAAUGAGGACGACUUUUGGAACUGCGGAAUUUCAAGUGCACAAGGAGAUAUCUGCGGGUCAUGUUGUUACAAGUCUGUGAAGGUUCUAUUAGCCUAUGCAACAGAAUUAAAAGAGCAGGUUAAAUCGAACGACUCAAAAAAUGCAGAAAGAGAUGACGAAAUAGCUAAGCUAAGAAAGAAAUUGCUUGAAAUAGAUUAUUAUAGAGGUGAAAACGCGGAGAUUGAUGAGCUACAGAAAGCGAAUGAUGCGUUAAGAAAAACAAAUGACGAUUUACUCAAACUUCUCAGUCAAUCGAUUCAGCAUCAAAAUAAUGUGGCUAAAAAUGAAGAGUUAAAGGCGGAAAUAGCAGAAGUGAAAUUGAGAACAAGAAAUCAAGCGAUCGAUUGCAUCGCUCGCCAGGACAAUUUAAAACAAGAAAUUGAACUCUUAAGGAAAAAGUCUUAUGACUCGGAAGAAACUCAUAAAAUUGUAUUGGAAAGCUCCAAAAGUGAUUUAGCAAACUUAAGAUUAAGCUUUGAAAAAGAACUAAAGUCGAAAGAAAAGUUGGCAAAUGAAAUAAGCGACUUGAAAUCUCAACUAGCAUCCUAUCAGGAGUUAAAGGCGGAAAUAGCAGAAGUGAAAUUGAGAACAAGAAAUCAGUCGAUCGAAUGCAUCGCUCGCCAGGACAAUUUAAAACAAGAAAUUGAACUCUUAAGGAAAAAGUCAAAUGACUCGGAAGAAACUUAUAAAAUUGUAUUGGAAAACUCCAAAAGUGAUUUAGCAAACUUAAGAUUAAGCUUUGAAAAAGAACUAAAGUCGAAAGAAAAGUUGGCCAAUGAAAUAAACGACUUGAAAUCUCAGCUAGCAUCCUAUCAGAAAAACUUGGAAGAUGCGCAAAAUCAGAUAGUAGCUAAAAAUAGUUUGAUCGAUAGUCAUUCUCUAAAACUAAACCAAACUGAGAUAAGUCUAAGUGAUUGUAAGCGAAAUUUACCGAAAAUAGGUUGCAAAGAUCUCCCAUCGGGAAUUCAUUUAAUUAAAAUUCCCGGACUGGAUCCGUUUCGAUCUUUCUGCAAAGGCGAGAUAGAUGGAAAUGGAUGGAUAGUUGUGCAUAGGCGACUUAAUGGUAGCGAAAACUUUUAUAGAAAUUGGAUAGACUUUCGAAACGGUUUUGGUGAUUUAAAUGGAAAUUUUUUUAUUGGUCUUGAAAAAUUGCAUCGCAUCACCCAAACGGAUAUUUAUGAACUUUCCAUAGAAAUUGUGUUCUAUUAUGAUACUUUUACAAAUGUUAGAUAUAAUCAUUUCAAAAUUGGUGAUGAAACUAAGCAAUAUAAGUUGGAAUCAUUGGGAGAAUUUCGAGGCACGAUCGACAAUCAAAUGGAGAGAGGCAUAGGACAAAAAUUCACGACUUACGAUCGUGAUAAUGAUUUGCGCAGUGAUGUGAAUUGUGCGGCAGAAUUUUAUGGAGCCUGGUGGUACGACAGAUGUUGGGGCCCAAAUCUAAACGGACGAUAUUAUACAAGUGAAAUCGAAAAAAGGGAUAGUAUGAGCUGGAAUGGCUGGUUUUCUCUGAAAUCAGUACAAAUGCUCAUUCGACCAAAAAACUCUUCAAAUCAAUGAUAAAUCACUAAAAAUAUAUUUU